CAUUGAGGAGUUUGAGAUAUUUGAAGAAUAUCGACCCCUAAAAAUAUAUAUCUUCGGUUGAAGAAAUUGGUCUGAAGCUGAAGAAAUGAAUCGCGAGGAAUCUGCGGUGAAAUUGAUAUUCCUCAUGAAGAUACUGAAACUGAGGAAUCCGGUGUAUCCUGAAGAAAAUCACUCUGAAGAAUUUGAAGCAUGAAGAUUUACACUUUCUG
rnacentral:lncRNA from 1 species